rnacentral:lncRNA from 1 species
CUUUCUCUUCACAUCUCCCUUCAGCACUGGGAGUUAAGACUAGUGAGUAAAACCUCCCAAACCUGGCUCCAUUGCUUUCUAAGUAUAUUGGCAAGUGACUUAUCAGGCUAAUCUCGGUUUCAUCAUCUCUAAAAUUGGAAUAAAAAUCCCUUCCUCAUGGGGCUGUUGCCAGGGACAACAGAUGUUAAUAAUUGCUGACGUUUGUCCAGUGCUGUGUGCCAGGGGCCAUGGUCAGGGCUUUGGCAUGGUUCUCACAACCUUGCACACUUGACACUUGAUCCUUAAUGAAUGUUACUUUAUUAUUUUCACAAUCAUCUUGCAGGGGUGAAAACAAAGGAAACAUUUUAUUCCAAUUGUGUAAGGGAAUAUAAAGUGGAUGUGAGGAGGUUCCUGGCUGAGCCUUGCUUGCAAACCACCUGAGUCCCUGACUCCUGGAAGCCCUGGAGCCAAUGCAUGGGAUCUUUACCAGGACAAAAUUUCAAAUAGCCACAUGAGUACUCUUCUGAUUUUGACAAAAGCAGUCAGUGAUUUCUGAAAAACAAACAAAUUAAAUCCAUGAUCGUCAGGGGUCGACCAAACAUCCUAGGUAAUCGCUGACAACGUCCUCAUCCUCUAUUCAAUGGUCACUGCAAACCAAUUCCUUUUUACUGUUCUGUAUCACGUUUUUCUUCCUGAGCUCUUUACUUCUUCACUGACCACCUUCUGAACACUCACACUUCUCCUUAGGCAACAGACGCAGACUACAGGCCGAUUUGAUAUGUGGAGUUUUUGUUUCAAAUGUUUCGUUGUAAACUUUUAAAUGUUGGG